UCCAAUUUCCUUACCUAAUGCAUGUGGAGAGGGCAUUUUGCGUGUAUCCUUGGGAACUAGUUGAACGAAUGUUCGAAUGCCCAUAUUAUAAAAGAAAAAGAAAAUAAUUUCCACUGGGAGGUGAUUGCCUAUCAGUGCCGAGUUUUUGCCUCUGUGUUUUCAUGUGAAUGUUUGGGUUCUAGUCACAAAUGUUUCAAACGGAAAUACUCCUGAUAAUGUUAUCUUAACAAUCAUAUUCACUCUUUACAAUCUAACACAACUGCUCACUAAAAGCGGAAGUGCUGUACACCUUACUUUGCAGCGUAUCGCUUGAGAGCAUGGCCUCAUAUUGGUGGAUACAAAGUAUGAACUCGGGAAGGCUGAGGACAGUUCCAUUCUUUUGAUAGAUGAGGUGCAUACUCCUGACUCAAUUAGAUAUAGGAUAGCGCAGUCUUAUGAUGAACGGUUUCAAAAUGGUCUUGAGCCUGAAAAUGUCGACAAGGAGUUCUUGAGGCUAUGGUUCAAAGAUCAUUGCAAUCCCUAGGAAGAUGAGGUACU